UACGUAGGGGGGCAAGCGUUGUCCGGAAUUAUUGGGCGUAAAGAGCGUGUAGGCGGUCCGGUAAGUCGGCUGUGAAAGUCCAGGGCUCAACCCUGGGAUGCCGGUCGAUACUGCCGGACUAGAGUUCGGAGGAGGCGAGUGGAAUUCCCGGUGUAGCGGUGAAAUGCGCAGAUAUCGGGAGGAACACCAAUGGCGAAGGCAGCUCGCUGGGACGUUACUGACGCUGAGACGCGAAAAGCGUGGGGAGCAAACAGGAUUAGAAACCCCCAGU
rnacentral:rRNA from 1 species